rnacentral:lncRNA from 1 species
CAGCUAUCCACGUGGAAGGCACCUGGAACAGAGGUGGGUACUGACUGAGCUUGCUACCUGGCCUGCUGCCUGGUGCCACCUGCACUGAGCUAAAGCAGACAACUCACUGCUGUCCUCAAGCGGUAAGUCAAGGGAGCACGGGUUUUGCUGAGACAGCAACAGCCACCCGAUGAUGAAAUCAACGGUCGGUCGGAGUGGAAGAGAGGAAAUACGUAGCAUCUUCCAGCUGGACAAGGAACUGACUUUUUGGAGGCUGAGAUCUAGCAACAUCCUGGAACUGAUACAAAAGAAAUUAUUUAGGGGGCUACGAGAGGAGCAAUUUACAAACUGAUAAAGGACCCCAAGUAUCUGACCAGCAAGCCCAAGCAAGGAUUCGGUGUUUCCGAGAGCGCCUUGGGGGAUCUGCACUGCGUCUCUGAAGGACUACUAGGACAGACCUGACCAAAAGUCUCACUCACCAAGCUUCUCCGACCACCCCGGGGUGUCCACACUCGGUUCCUCCCAUGACAGCAGCUCCUUGUUCAGAGAGCUCUCCGUAUCACCUUGGAAAAAGAUGAAAAACGCAGUGGAAAAAUGAACAAGGGAUCCGAGUGUCAUCGUAAACACUCAAACCUGUUCAACUUCACUUAGAAUUAGAGACUUGGAAAUCCCUGCCCAUGAAGAACCCAUCUUAAUGGCAAGGAUCACAAGUUUGGCCACAUGCCUUACAAUGGGCUUCAAUCUAGAUCUCAGCAUCCUGCCUCAGCAUCCUAGGGUUCAAGGAUAAUUGUGCACCACCACGCCCUGUUUCUGUCACAAUUCUGAAAGAAGUUCUGCAAAACACAAAUGUGUGUCCCACCUCAGCUCCAAGCAACACCCGAGGCCUGGAUGGUAACACCCAUAUCACCAACCAAAGACCUGCCACUGCCAACCCAGAUGCUCUGAGGGGCCUUUGUCUGGAAGCCAUCCCCACUAGCUAUUGUAUUAGCUCAGAUUUGGAUCCCAUCAUUAAACUUUACUCUUUGACUUCA